rnacentral:rRNA from 2 species
GGCUCAGAUUGAACGCUGGCGGCAGGCCUAACACAUGCAAGUCGAGCGAGAAAGGUUUUCGGACUGAGUACAGCGGCGGACGGGUGAGUAACGCGUAGGAAUCUACCCAGUAGUGGGGGACAACUUAGGGAAACUUAAGCUAAUACCGCAUACGCCCUGAGGGGGAAAGCGGGGGAUCUUCGGACCUCGCGCUAUUGGAAGAGCCUGCGUUAGAUUAGCUAGUUGGUGGGGUAAAGGCUCACCAAGGCGACGAUCUAUAGCUGGUCUGAGAGGAUGAUCAGCCACACUGGGACUGAGACACGGCCCAGACUCCUACGGGAGGCAGCAGUGGGGAAUAUUGCGCAAUGGGCGAAAGCCUG